UUCAUUCAACGUUUUUUUUUCAAUAAUUAUGUUCAAUUCGUUUUUUACAGGCAACAUAACAAAUUAAAUCAAAAACGUACUUCAAUUGGACAAAUUAAGAAAUAAAAAAUUCUGUAACAAAAUUGAGACGAAAAUCUGUAAAUUUAUUAACAAUUUUACUCUAUUCAUCAAUAACAUUGAUAAGUUGUAUUUAUACAUUUAACAAAGCAAUAAUGUUAUCCUAUAUUGAACAAUCUUAUAAUUCCACAUUUCAAACAGCUCAAAAAAAAAAAUUUAAUAAGCAUAUUCAGAAGAU